CUUUCCAGAGAUGGAUUGGUGCCUUCGGGAGCUCUGAGACAGGUGCUGCAUGGCUGUCGUCAGCUCGUGUUGUGAAAUGUUGGGUUAAGUCCCGCAACGAGCGCAACCCUUAUCCUUGUUUGCCAGCACGUAAUGGUGGGAACUCCAGGGAGACUGCCGGUGAUAAACCGGAGGAAGGUGGGGACGACGUCAAGUCAUCAUGGCCCUUACGAGUAGGGCUACACACGUGCUACAAUGGCAGAUACAGAGGGCAGCGAAGCUGCGAAGUGGAGCGAAUCCCUUAAAGUUUGUCGUAGUCCGGAUUGGAGUCUGCAACUCGACUCCAUGAAGUCGGAAUCGCUAGUAAUCGUGGAUCAGAAUGCCACGGUGAAUACGUUCCCGGGCCUUGUACACACCGCCCGUCACACCAUGGGAGUGGGCUGCACCAGAAGUAGAUAGCUUAACCUUCGGGAGGGCGUUUACCACGGUGUGGUUCAUGACUGGGGUGAAGUCGUAACAAGGUAGCCCUAGGGGAACCUGGGGCUGGAUCACCUCCUUA
rnacentral:ncRNA from 1 species